AUUGAACGCUGGCGGCAGGCCUAACACAUGCACGUCGCACGACUGGCGCACGGGUGAGUAAUGUCUGGGAACCUUCCUGAUGGAGGGGGAUAACUACUGGCAACGGUAGCUAAUACCGCAUCCCAUCAGAUGUGCCCAGAGGGGAUUAACUAGUUGGUGGGGUAACGGCUCACCAAGUCGACAAUCCCUAGUUGGUCUAAGAGGAUGACCAGGCACCCGGGAACUGGGACAGGAUCCAGAUUCCUACGGGAGGCAGCAGUGGGGAAUAUGGCACAAUGGACGCGAGCCUGAUGCAGCCAUGCCGCGGGUAUGAAGAAGGCCUGCGGGUUGUAAAGUACUUUCAGCGGGGAGGCGUUACCCGCAGAAGAAGCACCGGCUAACGACGUGCCAGCAGCCGCGGUAAUAC
rnacentral:rRNA from 1 species